CCUACGGGGGGCAGCAGUGGGGAAUAUUGCGCAAUGGGCGAAAGCCUGACGCAGCGACGCCGCGUGAGGGAUGAAGGUCUUCGGAUCGUAAACCUCUGUCAGCAGGGAAGAACGGUCACUGUGCUAAUCAGCAGUGAAUUGACGGUACCUGCAAAGGAAGCACCGGCUAACUCCGUGCCAGCAGCCGCGGUAAUACGGAGGGGGCGAGCGUUAAUCGGAAUUACUGGGCGUAAAGCGCUCGUAGGCGGUAUGUCAAGUCAAGGGUGAAAUCCCCGCGCUCAACGUGGGAACUGCCUUUGAAACUGGCAAACUGGAGUGUGUGAGAGGAUAGUGGAAUUCCAGGUGUAGGAGUGAAAUCCGUAGAUAUCUGGAGGAACAUCAGUGGCGAAGGCGACUAUCUGGAACAUAACUGACGCUGAGGAGCGAAAGCGUGGGUAGCAAACAGGAUUAGAUACCCCAGUAGUC
rnacentral:rRNA from 1 species